GGUUAAUGGCCCUGAAGGUAAUACCAUGUUUUACGAGCUUGCGUGAGAGCUCUAGAUGGACCAGUUAGAGAGAAAAUAAAAGAAUACAUAUCACAGAUUGUAAAUGUAAACAACAAUGUUGUCCUUGAUGAUGCCGACUAGUGUCCUACUGCCAAUUUUUCUUAAUGGAGACCGGGGAUUUUGAAGUUUUUGGACUCUUGAAAAGGCUGGUAAAUAGUAUAUAGGAGUUUGUGGUUGAUGACAGUUCUGAGCCGACUGGGGGAGGCGGCAGCUGAAUUGCCAGCCCCACUUCAAAGCUUGAAUAUUAUGAAAGAUUGCCGCAUUGGACUUGGUAGUUUAUUAAUUGUAUUUAGAUAGUUCAGUAAAGAAUGUUUUAAUGGACAAUGUGAUAUUCUGUACUACUGUGAUGCUUUUAGAGGUGAAUGGAUUUCGAUACCAAAUGCAUUGGCCAGAUGAAUCUGUGGUUCCAGAGAAAAUUAGGAUGACCACGACUCUUUAAACUAGGUCACAGUUAGGGAAUUUAACUACGUCAGAACGUUAUUUUCCAAAUUUAUUGAUUUGGAUUAUGAUGAACCAAAAUUUGCAAUAGACAAAAAGCCUUACGACUGCAAUAUAUAUUCAUUUUAA